rnacentral:rRNA from 1 species
GACGAACGCUGGCGGCGCGCCUAACACAUGCAAGUCGAACGGAGUCAAGAGGAGCUUGCUUUUCUUGACUUAGUGGCGAACGGGUGAGUAACGCGUGAGUAACCUGCCCUGGAGUGGGGGACAACAGUUGGAAACGACUGCUAAUACCGCAUAAGCCCACGGAUCCGCAUGGAUCUGCGGGAAAAGGAUUUAUUCGCUUCAGGAUGGACUCGCGUCCAAUUAGCUAGUUGGUGAGGUAACGGCCCACCAAGGCGACGAUUGGUAGCCGGACUGAGAGGUUGAACGGCCACAUUGGGACUGAGACACGGCCCAGACUCGUACGGGAGGCAGCAGUGGGGGAUAUUGCACAAUGGGGGAAACCCUGAUGCAGCGACGCCGCGUGGAGGAAGAAGGUUUUCGGAUUGUAAACUCCUGUCGUUAGGGACGAUAAUGACGGUACCUAACAAGAAAGCACCGGCUAACUACGUG